GCUGGAGGUAUCAGAAGUGCGAAUGCUGACAUAAGUAACGAUAAAGCGGGUGAAAAGCCCGCUCGCCGGAAGACCAAGGGUUCCUGUCCAACGUUAAUCGGGGCAGGGUGAGUCGACCCCUAAGGCGAGGCCGAAAGGCGUAGUCGAUGGGAAACAGGUUAAUAUUCCUGUACUUGGUGUUACUGCGAAGGGGGGACGGAGAAGGCUAUGUUGGCCGGGCGACGGUUGUCCCGGUUUAAGCGUGUAGGCUGGUUUUCCAGGCAAAUCCGGAAAAUCAAGGCUGAGGCGUGAUGACGAGGCACUACGGUGCUGAAGCAACAAAUGCCCUGCUUCCAGGAAAAGCCUCUAAGCAUCAGGUAACAUCAAAUCGUACCCCAAACCGACACAGGUGGUCAGGUAGAGAAUACCAAGGCGCUUGAGAGAACUCGGGUGAAGGAACUAGGCAAAAUGGUGCCGUAACUUCGGGAGAAGGCACGCUGAUAUGUAGGUGAAGUCCCUCGCGGAUGGAGCUGAAAUCAGUCGAAGAUACCAGCUGGCUGCAACUGUUUAUUAAAAACACAGCACUGUGCAAACACGAAAGUGGACGUAUACGGUGUGACGCCUGCCCGGUGCCGGAAGGUUAAUUGAUGGGGUUAGCG
rnacentral:rRNA from 1 species